UAUGGCCACACCAUUUUGAAAUACCAGUUCCCAUCAGAACACUAAAAUUAAGCAAUGUCAAGCCUGGUCAGAACCUAGAAGGGUGACCAUUUGGGAAUACCAGCUUG